rnacentral:misc_RNA from 1 species
CAGAGUUUACGAUGAAAACUCCCAAACCCCUUGUGAACCUACUCUUUUGUUGCCUCGGCAGGCAAGAGGGCCUCCACAUUAGAGGCUGGCCUGCCGGUGGUCUACGAGACGAAAUUUUGUUUAGCACUUGGUUAUUCUGAUCAGUUAGGACAUAAUAUCGAGUUUA